rnacentral:rRNA from 1 species
AGUUUGAUCAUGGCUCAGAUUGAACGCUGGCGGCAGGCCUAACACAUGCAAGUCGAACGGUAACAGGAAGCAGCUUGCUGCUUUGCUGACGAGUGGCGGACGGGUGAGUAAUGCUGGGAAACUGCCUGAUGGAGGGGGAUAACUACUGGAAACGGUAGCUAAUACCGCAUAACGUCGCAAGACCAAAGAGGGGGACCUUCGGGCCUCUUGCCAUCGGAUGUGCCCAGAUGGGAUUAGCUAGUAGGUGGGGUAACGGCUCACCUAGGCGACGAUCCCUAGCUGGUCUGAGAGGAUGACCAGCCACACUGGAACUGAGACACGGUCCAGACUCCUACGGGAGGCAGCAGUGGGGAAUAUUGCACAAUGGGCGCAAGCCUGAUGCAGCCAUGCCGCGUGUAUGAAGAAGGCCUUCGGGUUGUAAAGUACUUUCAGCGGGGAGGAAGGGAGUAAAGUUAAUACCUUUGCUCAUUGACGUUACCCGCAGAAGAAGCACCGGCUAACUCCGUGCCAGCAGCCGCGGUAAUACGGAGGGUGAAGCGUUAAUCGGAAUUACUGGGCGUAAAGCGCACGCAGGCGGUUUGUUAAGUCAGAUGUGAAAUCCCCGGGCUCAACCUGGGAACUGCAUCUGAUACUGGCAAGCUUGAGUCUCGUAGAGGGGGGUAGAAUUCCAGGUGUAGCGGUGAAAUGCGUAGAGAUCUGGAGGAAUACCGGUGGCGAAGGCGGCCCCCUGGACGAAGACUGACGCUCAGGUGCGAAAGCGUGGGGAGCAAACAGGAUUAGAUACCCUGGUAGUCCACGCCGUAAACGAUGUCGACUUGGAGGUUGUGCCCUUGAGGCGUGGCUUCCGGAGCUAACGCGUUAAGUCGACCGCCUGGGGAGUACGGCCGCAAGGUUAAAACUCAAAUGAAUUGACGGGGGCCCGCACAAGCGGUGGAGCAUGUGGUUUAAUUCGAUGCAACGCGAAGAACCUUACCUGGUCUUGACAUCCACAGAACUUUCCAGAGAUGGAUUGGUGCCUUCGGGAACUGUGAGACAGGUGCUGCAUGGCUGUCUAGCAGCUCGUGUUGUGAAAUGUUGGGUUAAGUCCCGCAACGAGCGCAACCCUUAUCCUUUGUUGCCAGCGGUCCGGCCGGGAACUCAAAGGAGACUGCCAGUGAUAAACUGGAGGAAGGUGGGGAUGACGUCAAGUCAUCAUGGCCCUUACGACCAGGGCUACACACGUGCUACAAUGGCGCAUACAAAGAGAAGCGACCUCGCGAGAGCAAGCGGACCUCAUAAAGUGCGUCGUAGUCCGGAUUGGAGUCUGCAACUCGACUCCAUGAAGUCGGAAUCGCUAGUAAUCGUGGAUCAGAAUGCCACGGUGAAUACGUUCCCGGGCCUUGUACACACCGCCCGUCACACCAUGGGAGUGGGUUGCAAAAGAAGUAGGUAGCUUAACUUCGG